UACGUAGGGGGCUAGCGUUGUCCGGAUUUAUUGGGCGUAAAGAGCGUGUAGGCGGCCAGGUAGGUCUGCUGUGAAAACUCGAGGCUCAACCUCGAGACGUCGGCGGAAACCAUCUGGCUAGAGUCCGGAAGAGGAGAGUGGAAUUCCUGGUGUAGCGGUGAAAUGCGCAGAUAUCAGGAAGAACACCCGUGGCGAAGGCGGCCUGCUGGGCAGUAGCUGACGCUGAGGCGCGACAGCGUGGGGAGCAAACAGG
rnacentral:rRNA from 1 species